rnacentral:lncRNA from 1 species
AAAUUAUCCCAAAUUCGUCCCAAAUUAUCUCAAAUUUAUUCCAAAUUUACUCCUAAAUUAUUCCCAAAUUAUUCUCAAAUUCUUCAGAAUUUUUUCCCAAAUUCUUAACAAAUUAUCCCCAAAUUCUUCCCAAAUUAUCCCCAAAUUAUCCCUAAUUUAUUCAUUUAUUCCCCAAAUGAUCCCCAAAUUCCGGUGUCCCCAGUGUCCCCUCCUGUCCUCAAAUUCCGCCAAUUAUUCCCAAAUUUUUCCGAAAUUCCCAAAUUAUCCCGGAAGUGUCCCCGGAUUCCGAGGUGGCUCCGUGUCACCCUCGUGUCCCCAAAUCCCCGCGUGUCCCUCCCGGUCCCCGCAUUCCGAUGUCACCCUCGUGUCACCCUCGUGUCACCCCCGUGUCACCCCCGUGUCACCCCCGUGUCACCGCGUGUCCCGUGUGUGUCCCUCCCCUGUCCUCUCCCUGUCCCCUCCCUGUCCCCAAAUUCCGAUGUCACCCCCGUGUCACCCUCGUGUCCGUCCCUGUCCCGUGUUUGUGUCCGUCCUGUCCCCUCCUCUGUCCCCAGCGGUGCCACCCCUGUCCUCUCCUGUCCCUCUGUCCCUCUGUCCCUCUGUCCCUCUGUCCCUCUGUCCCCUGUCUGUCCCUCUGUCCCCCUGUCCCUCUGUCCCACUCUUGUCCCCUCCCCUGUCCCCUCCCUGUCCCCAAAUUCCGAUGUCCCUCCGUGUCACCCUCGUGUCACCCGCGUGUCCCGUGUUUGUGUCCCGCCCCUGUCCCCUCCCCUUUCCCUUCCCCUGUCACCUCCCUGUCCCCAGCGGUGCCACCCGUGUCCCACCCCUGUCCCCUCCUGUCCCCCUGUCCCUCUGUCCCUCUGUCCCUCUGUCCCCCUGUCCCUCUGUCCCCUGUCUGUCCCUCUGUCCCCUCCUGUCCCUCUGUCCCACUCUUGUCCCCUCCCCUGUCCCCUCCCUGUCCCCGCAUUCCGAUGUCCCUCCGUGUCACCCUCGUGUCACCCGCGUGUCCCGUGUUUGUGUCCCGCCCCUGUCCCCGCCUGUCCCCAGCGGUGCCACCCGUGUCCCCUGUCCGUCCGUCCGUCCGUCCGUCCGUCCGUCCGUCCGCGGGGCCGAUGUCGCCGCCCGCCGCCUCGCGCGGUCCCCUGGCCGUGCUGGCCGCGGCCACGGCGUGUCCGCGCUGCGGGAGCGCCG